AUGAGCUCCAGCUCUCCCUGGCCCUCAAGGUGGCCGACAAGGUGCUGGAGGGGGCGGCUUCUGGAGACCAUCAGUCAGCUCUACCUGUCUCUGGGCACUGAGCGGGCCUACAGAUCCACUCUGGACUACACCAAAGUAGUCUGGGGAUUUUCAUUCACCUCCAAAAGAAAGAGGAGACGCAUGCCUGGCUGCAAGCAGGGAAGAUCUACUACGUCCUGCGGCAGAGCGAGAUGGUGGACCUGUACAUCCAGGUGGCACAGAAUGUGGUCCUGUACACAGGCGACCCCAACCUGGGGCUGGAGCUGUUUGAGGCAGCUGGAGACAUCUUCUUCAAUGGGGCCUGGGAGCGGGAGAACGCCGUGUCCUUCUACCAGGGGACCGGCUGAACGAGCGCGUGGCCUACUACCGGCUGGCCGCCCUGCACCACCGGCUGGGCCAUGGCAAGCUGGCGGAGCACUUCUACCUCAAGGCCCUGUAGCUCUGCAACUCGCCGCUGGAGUUCGACGAGGAGACCCUCUACUCCGUGAAGGUGUACCUGGUGCUAGGUGACAUCAUCUUCUACGACCUGAAGGAGGCUCUGGACCCAGGGCCCGGAGCAGUGGGAGAAAAAGCCGGUCUAGAUGGGGCCUGGAAGGCUGGCAAAGAAGCAGAGGUAAAUGGGCAUCUUUUCCAAUUGCCUCUAAAAUGGGGUCCCCUUUAGUCUACACGUGAGAGUGAGGAUUGGUGUGUCCAAUCUCACUGGAAUAGGGUGGAUUAGGUGUGUCCUGGCUCAGCCUUCCACUGAGUAGCUGCUGC
rnacentral:lncRNA from 1 species